UACGGAGGGGGCUAGCGUUGUUCGGAAUUACUGGGCGUAAAGCGCACGUAGGCGGCUUUUGCAAGUUAGAGGUGAAAGCCCGGGGCUCAACGUCCGGAAUUGCCUUUAAAACUGCAUCGCUAGAAUUGUGGAGAGGUAAGUGGGAAUUCCGGAGUUGUAGAGGUGAAAUUCGAUAGAUAUUCGGAAGAACACCAGUGGCGAAGGCGACUUACUGGACACACUAUUGACGCUGAGGUGACGAAAGCGUGGGGAGCAAACAGGG
rnacentral:rRNA from 1 species